UCGGACUGGCCCAGGGAGGUCGGCAACGACCACCCAGGGCCGGAAAGUUGGUCAAACUCGGUCAUUUAGAGGAAGUAAAAGUCGUAACAAGGUCUCCGUAGGUGAACCUGCGGAGGGAUCAUUA
rnacentral:rRNA from 1 species